UGGGGAAUAUUGGUCAAUGGGCGAAAGCCUGAACCAGCAAUGCCGCGUGAGUGAUGAAGGCCUUCGGGUUGUAAAGCUCUGUCAGAGGGAAUGAAAAAACCGCGUAACGAGCGGUCUUGACAGUACUCUCAAAGGAAGCACCGGCUAACUCUGUGCCAGCAGCCGCGGUAAUACAGAGGGUGCAAGCGUUGUUCGGAAUUACUGGGCGUAAAGCGCGUGUAGGCGGCCAUCUAAGUCAGAUGUGAAAUCCCUUGGCUCAACUGAGGAACUGCAUCUGAUACUGGUUGGCUUGAGUGUCGGAGGGGAUGGUAGAAUUCCUGGUGUAGAGGUGAAAUUCGUAGAUAUCAGGAGGAAUACCUGUGGCGAAGGCGACCAUCUGGAAGACAACUGACGCUGAGAC
rnacentral:rRNA from 1 species